rnacentral:lncRNA from 1 species
AUGAUGGCUUACUGCGUUGUACUGUUCUUGGUUGCUUGCGCUCCCAUAACCUCCUGGAUGAAGCCAGAGGAGCAACAGCACAGCAGCACCAUAUCCUUCCUUAGAUGUAUUCUGCCUGGAGGACAGACUGGACGAACUCGGGCUGGACCAGAACUGCCGCAGCACUGUUCUCUGUUGCUGAACAUAAAGGCAAUGAAAAUUGAGCUGGGAAGAGUACAGGGGAGGAAAAACGACCAUAGCCAGUGAGUGUCCACCCUGGGUAACUGGGGUUUGUGGCUGUUUCUGCCCCACUGUGUUGUGUACAGUGAGCCUGGUAGCAGGACCUCCUUCCCAAAGUGGUCCCACGGUCCUCUCCCU